CGCCGUUCGGACGGGGAUAGAAUAGAAGUUUCCUAAACUUUAGAUACAGGUUCGAUUCCUGUCAAGGCUA
rnacentral:tRNA from 1 species